rnacentral:rRNA from 1 species
UACGUAGGGUGCGAGCGUUGUCCGGAAUUAUUGGGCGUAAAGGGCUCGUAGGCGGUUUGUCGCGUCGGGAGUGAAAACCCCGGGCUUAACUCGGUGCUUGCUUUCGAUACGGGCAGACUAGAGGUAUGCAGGGGAGAACGGAAUUCCUGGUGUAGCGGUGAAAUGCGCAGAUAUCAGGAGGAACACCGGUGGCGAAGGCGGUUCUCUGGGCAUUACCUGACGCUGAGGAGCGAAAGCCAGGGGAGCAAACGGG